UCCUCUGUGGCGCAGGUGGUUAGCGCAGUGCCCUGUCGGAUUCAAUCGUCCGACUCGGCGCGGGUCGCGGGUUCAAGUCCCGCCAGGGGAA
rnacentral:tRNA from 1 species